AUUGAACGCUAGCGGGAUGCUUUACACAUGCAAGUCGAACGGCAGCGCGGACUUCGGUCUGGCGGCGAGUGGCGGACGGGUGAGUAAUGUAUCGGAACGUGCCCAGUAGCGGGGGAUAACUACGCGAAAGCGUAGCUAAUACCGCAUACGCCCUACGGGGGAAAGCAGGGGAUCGUAAGACCUUGCACUAUUGGAGCGGCCGAUAUCGGAUUAGCUAGUUGGUGAGGUAAAGGCCCACCAAGGCGACGAUCCGUAGCUGGUUUGAGAGGACGACCAGCCACACUGGAACUGAGACACGGCCCAGACUCCUACGGGAGGCAGCAGUGGGGAAUUUUGGACAAUGGGGGCAACCCUGAUCCAGCCAUCCCGCGUGUGCGAUGAAGGCCUUCGGGUUGUAAAGCACUUUUGGCAGGAAAGAAACGUCGCGGGCUAAUACCCCGUGGAACUGACGGUACCUGCAGAAUAAGCACCGGCUAACUACGUG
rnacentral:rRNA from 1 species